UCGAGAAUAUUUAGCAAUGGACGAAAGUCUGACUAUGCGACGCCGCGUGCAGGAUGAAGGUCUUCGGAUUGUAAACUGCUUUUAUUAGGGGAGAAACCUGUAUGGUUAAUAGUCAUACAGCUGACGGUACCUGAUGAAUAAGCCACGGCAAACUCUGUGCCAGCAGCCGCGGUAAUACAGAGGUGGCAAGCGUUACUCGGAAUUAUUGGGUGUAAAGGGCAGGUAGGUGGUCUGAUAAGUGAGGGGUGAAAUCCUGCGGUUUAAUCGCAGAACAGCCUUUCAAACUGCCAGACUUGAGAGAAACAGAGGAAGAUGGAAUUCCCGGUGUAAGGGUGAAAUCUGUAGAUAUCGGGAAGAACACCAACGGCGAAGGCAAUCUUCUGGGUUUUUUCUGACACUGAGCUGCGAAAGCUAGGGGAGCAAACA
rnacentral:rRNA from 1 species